AUUGAACGCUGGCGGCAUGCCUUACACAUGCAAGUCGAACGGCAGCACGGGUGCUUGCACCUGGUGGCGAGUGGCGAACGGGUGAGUAAUACAUCGGAACGUACCUUAUCGUGGGGGAUAACGCAGCGAAAGCUGUGCUAAUACCGCAUACGCCCUGAGGGGGAAAGCGGGGGAUCGAAAGACCUCGCGCGAUUAGAGCGGCCGAUGCCUGAUUAGCUUGUUGGUGGGGUAAAAGCCACCAAGGCGACGAUCAGUAGCUGGUCUGAGAGGACGAUCAGCCACACUGGGACUGAGACACGGCCCAGACUCCUACGGGAGGCAGCAGUGGGGAAUUUUGGACAAUGGGGGAAACCCUGAUCCAGCAAUGCCGCGUGAGUGAAGAAGGCCUUC
rnacentral:rRNA from 1 species